rnacentral:misc_RNA from 1 species
GCCCAACGAUGCGUUUACGAUGUGAUCUAAGUAAUUUUUGCUAUCUGUUAUAUUUAAAACAAUUUCUUAUUUAUAUGAACUCCAAGAACUUUGGUGAAAAAAUAAUCUUCGAAAUCAGUCCACCCAGUAAAAAGUUCUAAGAAUACAAUGCCUAGACGUAAAAGAGGAGGAUAUCUUGCCAAGUCUGCAGCGGAACGGCGGAAACAAAAAGAAUAUCGGAGAAAUAAAACGAAAGAAGAGCACAAAGCACGUUUACAAAAUCAACGAACCUGAAUGAGCACCCUGAGAAGCAGAAAAAGCGAAGACAGAAAAGAAAAUAAAAGUAUUGAAGAAUCGAGAAGUUUAAAAGAUAAUCUAACAAAGGAAGCAUGAACUUAUUUCUGGAAAGAACAAAGGACACACAGUAUUUAUACCUAGAAUACCACUGAUCUCUU